AUAUUUACCUGGCAGGGGAGAUACCAUGAUCACGAAGGUGGUUUUCCCAGGGCGAGGCUUAUCCAUUGCACUCCGGAUGUGCUGACCCCUGCGAUUUCCCCAAAUGUGGGAAACUCGACUGCAUAAUUUGUGGUAGUGGGGGACUGCAUUCGCGCUUUCCCCUG
rnacentral:snRNA from 1 species